GGUGUGCGAUGCGGGGAAGCGUGUGUGAUGUGGUGGGGGACAGAGGGACAGAUUGGUGAUUGUGCGCGAGGCAACACAGCAGCGGAAAGCGCUGACGAUGUUUUCGAGAACUCAGUUGGAUCCGAGCGCGCAACUGCGACACGCGCUAUUCUAAGGAGGUGGACCGAGUCGAGAGCGAGGUAGCGAGAGCGAGGUAGAGAGAGCGAGGUAGCGAGAGCGAGGUAGCGAGAGAGCGAGGUAGCGAGAGAGAGAGAGAGAGAGAGAUUGUAAGUGGUUUAGAAGACGACCCGGCUGAGCAGAAGGACAACUGUCAUGGGAUUAAUGUGAACCCUUCUGCGGCUCUUCAUGGAGGGGUCCUGGCCUGGCCUGUGGAGAUGAGCCAAUAGGCAACUAUAUACGGACCAGGGUUUAUGCUGAUGAAACUCAUCUGCUCCAAGAGGAAAAGGCUUGAAGAUGAUGCUUGUCUGACAUGGAAAAAUAGGAGAUACAAAACCAGGCUGCGGCGCUCCUCCUUUACCAUGAACUGAACCUCCUACACAUCGAUCUGCAGGAGAAACAGAGAGGGAUCUGACCAGAUCGCCAUGGUCUCACAAGGUUAGUCCGACCCAGCCACAUCCAACACUGUACUGGUUGGCCAGUCAUUCCCCACAUAUGGCUCACAUGAUCAAAUUUAUUAAUUAAACAAUUUGUAAUUCUGGUCAAAUUCUUUACAACUGUAUAUUACUGUCUUUUUUUAAUUGGGUUAUGUGCGUUUUCUUAAGUUCUUAAUUGUUGUAGGCAUCACCUUUGAAAUGUGGAAGGGUGCCUUGUGUUGGAGGAGGCUGGGAGCCAGGAGGCUCAUGGUAAUGGAUUGAUAGGAUCCAUUCCUUACAGGCUGCCCCUUACCACAACCACAGCAAACAUAAACCUACUAAAGCUUUGUAUUGAGCAACUGUUCAUGAAUAGCAGCAUAUGAAUACAAAUAGAGGCCAACGGAAGGAGAGAAGGGAGGGGCAUUACCUGGUAGAAGAGGGGCGAUGAGAGAAAGAGAGGUGGAAACAUGGCCAACAUCCAUUCUCCCAAGGGAGAGAGAAGGAACGAGAAUGAGAGAUUAGGGAGGACAUAUGACCCAUGUUUAUUAAGACCCACACAAACACACAUCAGGAUGAACCGAUAUUUUCUGACCUAACGUAUCCUUGUUUGUUUUAUAUUGACUACGAGAGUUCAGUAAAUCUGGUAUAAAAUUGAUGUUAUUGAAAAUAACAAAUUCUGGAAUUGCUCUAUUUAAGUUGUGUAUUUAUAACUACCAAUGUCUGCUUUCACCUAGGGAAAGGGCAUCAGAGCAGAAUCAAUAUUCCCCUUUCUUUGGCCUGAGAACGUCUCCCUGGUUCGGAGCAGGACUGUGUAUAGCAUGAUCUCCCUGAGUUCACGUAGCUCUCUUAGUCCUUCGUCAGAAGAAAUGCGUUUCAAGAUACUUUGAGUGGUGGAGAGGGUCUAUUUGAAAGCUUAUCACAUUCAAUAACCAAACAAUUGAAACUUGACUCAUAAGAGCAACCUGUCAGAAUUGGGGAUCGAGCCCGGAUCUGCGAAUCCACAGUUCUACUCUGAACCCAGUUAACAAAAGGGAAGGGUAUAGACUCAAGUGAAGAGAGGGUGGAACUGAACGGUUGUUUAUUACAAAAAGUCCUUGGGCAAAACACAGAAGAUCAAAUUCCAAAACGAGGGCAAAAUCCAAAAAGAGCAAAAACCAACAGAAAAGACAAAAGUCCAAAACGUCAUACCAAAGGGGCAAAUCCAAGUGGGUAAUCCAGAGGGCAGGCAAGCGGUCAAAUCACAGGGGAUCAAUAAUCAUUUCCAAUACAAGACUAGCUUCGGUCAGAGUACGAACGUGGCACAUCAAAGACUAAGCACUGAACAUCGGCAAAAGCAGGGCUUAAAGGCAUGGCUUGAUUGGUCAUGUGACCGGAGCAACAAGACACAGGUGACAGGGCUAAUUGGCAAAGCAAGGGAACAGAAAAUACUUAAAUAACACAUGUACGGCCACUUGAUGCCGCCAAAGUCCAAAGUGC
ensembl:lncRNA